AAAAAAAUACGUGAACUUAGGAUGGAGGCUUAGAGGGGCCAGAAGGUGGUCCAUUAUGUAUAAUGGACCACCUUCUGGCCCCUCUAAGCCUCCAUCCUAAGUUCACGUUCUCCAU